CAUUGUAACCCGUACGAUCAUCAAAGUUAAGCAACAUCGAGCCUGGUCAGUACCUAGAUGGGUGACCGCUUGGAAGGACCAGGUGCUGUAAG